rnacentral:guide_RNA from 1 species
AAAUCAUAACAAUCUAUAAUAGACGAGCGUGAUAUUGUCAAUGAUAAUUAAU